ACAAAAGAUGCUGCCAGUGAGUGCAGAGAGUUAAGCCACACUUUUCCCUUCUCCGUCCGCCUCCCCUUCCAGGUAGCAUCUGGAUAUUUUAAAGGACCAUCACUAAAUUCACCAUCUCUGGAACAAGUGAAACAGACUUUUUCCCCUCCUGGUUUGGAAACUUGCUGGAGUUAUUAAAUUUCUCAGAAUCUUAGAAUUGGAGGACCUCAGAGGCCAUGAGUCUACCCUAUCCUCAAAUUCUCAAGGCAGAGAAUCUCUGCCCAUCGUCCUGCAGCGUGGUUAUUCCUGGCAUCGCUCUGACCUUUGGUUAACUUGGUGCUUUUGCCCACCUGGCCUGAUACUAACCUACCAUAAGUAGCAUGUGGCACAUGUCAGGAUGGUGACCACAUCAGUGACACUGUCGACAAGGGCUCAUCAUCCUUUCGGAAUGAGAGAACCGUGACAUCUUGGAGGCUUCCGUGUGAUCUGAGGAAGAGCAUUAGGAUGGCUUUUUAAAGAGAUCUGCCUCCAUUUACCUUCUCCUGACAGCUGGGUUGGGGGCAGGAGCCUCCUGCAGUCCUGUUGUACAGACCUCUUUCCAAAGGAGUUGAGCUUUCAGGUAUCUACACAUUCAUUAGCUGAGGUCCCCUCUCGCUCCCUCCCUUCACCAAUGCAAGUCAUUACUCCGUCACGCUUGCAUGUAAGUGAUCUUCAUGUAUUGGUGGGACCACAAAAGGAAUCACUUCUUGCCUAAACGUUCUGAGAAGCAUAACAACGACCUUCGCUAAGCCAGUCCUCUGAGAACGGGCACCAGGCCCAUGACCAGGCCUUUUCAGAUUGGCAGAGUUGGCAGAUGACAGAAGGCAGAUAGACCACAAAGAGGCCCUGGAGCCAGGUCUUGGCAGAGAUGCCAGUGGAGAUGGAGUGAACCUGGGUCGUGAUGUUGGGAUCUGUGGUUGGGACGGCGAGAAAAAGAGAGAGCAAGCUCAGCUUCCAUCAUGCGGUAAGAACUGAGGGUAAAGGGAGAUUCUGUGAGCUGCCAGGAAAAGGAUGAAAGCCCAAGGCGCCAGGACACAGUAGGCCCAGGAGGAGGUUACAGUGGUCAGCGGGUCUUCCUUCUUCUCUCCGAUCUUUUCCAUGGAUAAAACCUUCAGAUUUUCACAAUGAUUUUUCAUUUCAUUCUCAGGACUGAAGUAUGGGGCGUUCCUUGGGACUGUGGAAAUCCAGGUCCUCCCCAGCCCUUGCCCCGCUCCCCUGUGACUGUGGGAAGCGGAUCCCGCGUGCAGGGAGGCAGACACGCUGAGAGGCCAUUUCUGCGGCUUCUCGGGCCUGUCCAAACUGUGCCUCCUGCCUCGCCAAGUCCAGUGGCUUGCAAUUUGUUUUCUUCAUUUGAAAUGCUUGCGCAUUUUCAGAAGACAAACCUUCAAAGACAUUCUGGGAAUUUAAGGACGGGGCAGACGGUCCACCAGCUCAUUUUGUAGGGUGUCUCUGCAUUUUAUCCGGAGGGGCCAGGAAGCUCAGAUGUUGCCUUUGUUUCUCCCAAAACUCCGCUAAUGUAAGGUUGGCAUUUGGCCGAAAUGGCCUUUAGAGCUGGGAGUGAGCAUGGGCAAGUUAUGGGAGAUACAGAAGAGGAAGGGAUCUCAGAGGUCAUCAGACCCAGAGAAGCAGCCCCGGUGGAACAAUAGAAAAAGCCAGGCCUGCCUGAAGUCAAGAAGACCCGAGUUCAGAUCUGGGC